rnacentral:miRNA from 1 species
UAUCAUUCACAUGGGUAUCUUGUUAAAAUGCAGAUUCUGAUUCAGAAAGCCCAGGGAUUCUGCAUUUCUAACCAGCUCCCUAAAGAUAAAGAUGCU